GUGAAAAAAGUCUGUUUUUUCCUAAUUGGUAGGAAAGCAGAAGAAUUUGAAAUGUCUGAGCUAGACUCAUUUUUUUUUUAGGGCUUAAAAUCUGAAUCCACAGUGAAGCAGGGGAGGAAAGAACGAUGAAGUCCUCAAGAGUUUUACUAGUGAUCCUGUGGCUUCAGUUAACCUGGAUGAGGAGUCAACAGAAGGGAGUGGAGCAGAGUCCUGGAUCUCUGAGCGUUCUGGAGGGAGCCACGGCCUCUCUCAACUGCAAUUAUAGUGACAGUGCUUCCCAGUACUUCAUGUGGUACAGACAGUAUUCCGGGAAGGGUCCCGAGUUGCUGAUGUACAUGUACUCCAAAGGUGACAAAAAGGAAGGAAGAUUUUGGGGGCAGGUCGAUACAGCAAAACAAUACGUUUCCCUGCUCAUCAGAGACUCCCAGCCCAGCGACUCAGCCACCUACCUCUGUGCAGUAAGCACACAGUUGUCUCCUGGCACCUGCUGUCUGCACCCAAACCCACUAGGGCCCCAGCAAUGCCUGAUAUAGAGCCUAGGCUUCAGGGUAGAGAAAUUCUGUUUGCUCCCUAGAUGCACACGGGAAUUAAGAGCAUUACCCAUAGCCAUAAAAUGCCUUAUACCCACCCGCAGAGCGUGGGAGCACAGAAUGACUUCAGAUUUCCUGAGAAGAAUCUCCAAAAAAGUACCUAAAAGAAUUCCAGACACAGAGGAGCUUUGUUAUGGUGAUUAAAGACCUGAUUGGAUCAAUUAUAAAAACCAUAUGGUAUUGAAGAUGUCUCAGAAAAUAUUGGUGAGGGAAGUUGAUAACACCAAAGAUUAUAUGAAGGCUCCCCUCCCCUGACUCCUUGGCACUUUGGAAUUGCCCCACAACUUAUGUCCAAGUCCAGGAAAAGUGUUUGUGGCCUGAUAGAAAUAAGGCCUUGUAAUGGAUGUUACAAUUAAAGGGGGAAAAUGUAAAAGUCACAUUUAUUGUAAAGUUGAAGAUGUGGGCUGUUAGACAAGACAUUGUUUAUGUAGUCCAAAGAGUGGGAAAACCUGGAAAUGGGGAGUUAAGAUUUCUGUUCAAUUUUGUUCCCAUAGUCACUGAUUAAAAGGAUGCAACCCAGUCAGGACUUGCUUCAAAUUCUCAAUCUGUGGACUGAAGACUCUUCACAAAUAUUUCCGAAUCAUGGAAGACAGAUCUGAAAGGCAGUGAGAAGAAGCAGGAAGUUGUGCUGGAUCAAGAUACUUGGAUUCUAGUUCUAUUUGUGUUGUGUGUCUUCUGGUGUCAUGGUGCACUGGAAAGAAUUUGGCCUGUGGUGCCAGUUUGAAUGUCUUUUAUGUUACUGAUGGGCCAUUUGAUCUUA